GCUCCGAUGGUCAGGUUGGUAAGGCGCGUCACUGGUAGCUAACCUGCAUACGCUCAUGAUGAGACCAACGGUUCAAAUCCGUUUCGGAGCA